UUUACAGUGUAUAGGUACUUCUGAAAAAUGACACAAAAACAUUUCCAGUAAUCUUCAUUCAUAAAUUUGAUAUUCUCUCACAUUUAUUCAGGAAAUAUGUUCAUAUUAUAAGGUUGACAAAAAAGUAAGCUCAAAACUUGUUCAUUAUGUGAAAACAAUUAUUAUUUGCCCAGAGACACAUAAUGAACAGUUUUAUUAAUAACUAGAGCGAGGCUUAUCAUUCAGGUUAAAAGUACCUUUUGAACAUAGACACCUUUAACAUUUUACAUUUCCGUAUUAACAAUGUUUUUCAUUGUUUUUAAUGCAAACUUAGAUGUCAUGUUUUUGUUUGCUGCAGUGUUAAAGUUUUUGCAGCCGGAUUUGAUUUCUGCUCUUUUGCCAGGUACUGUUAUGAAAUGUCAGAGGUAGACGCCAAAAACAAGAUUGAAGCCGUUUGGCAGGAGGAGAGUCAUCUCAACAGGUACCUGUUGACCAACAAACCGGCCAAGGUGCUGUCUCCAGAAUACCUGUGGUCUGACUAUGAUAAGGUAACGCCUGACAUUAAAGUCGUAAGGAUCUCCCAGUUGGUCAAGAACUACGAAGAAGUUCGUCCAAAUGGUGGACACUGAUCCUCAAACUUCAGAAGCUGGACGCAGGUUCUGCUCAUUUUGCAUCUUUGCAGUUUUGGGGGUUUUUUACACGUCUGUCCGGGGAUAUUCAUUACUGGAUAUGAGUCAAUUCGUACCAACCCGCUUUGAUUACCAACAACUUAACUUAUUUUUCUAAAAUCUACUCAUAGCCUAUUUUGUGACAAUCUGCCAGCAGGAUUUUAUGUUUUUGCAUCGUAACCAGGCUGCAAGAAGACGUUCCUAAAACUGUUUAGGAACGUCACCUGGUUGUUGAGCAGCCCAAGCAGAGCAUCGGCAUGAGUCCUUCUGACAUUCUUUAACAACAAUCAAAGGCUUGAAUCACAAAAGUUACAUGUUGAACCCCUGGCUGUGAGCCAUGGGACACAGUGGGAGGUUGAGACUCUGGUGUUGGUGUUUUUAUAUAUGGGUAAGAAAAUUUGAAUAUUUUGAAAACGCUCUGCUUUUUGUCACUUAUUUCGGAAAAUGAAACUGCUGUAAUAAAGAUUCAUUACACACAGAGUGACAUAUUUAAAUCCUUUACUUCUUUGUAAUUUUGAUAAUUAUAACUUACAAAUGAUUGAAAAUACCAAAAUUAAGUGUCUUAGAAAAUGUGAUUAUUACAUUUAUACGUUAAAAAUAAUUUUUUUAAAAGUUGUAUUGGGUGAUAUUCUAAUAUCUGUAGCAAUAAUCAUCAAAAUUACAAGAAAUGGAGAUUUUAUGUAUUUCACUCUGUAAUAAAUCUGUGUAAUGUGUGACUGUUUCACUUUCUGAAAUGAGAGAAAGAAAAUAUUAAACUUGUUCAUAAUAUUCAAAUUUUCAGAGUUGCAGCUUUAUAUUUUGUUGUUUUGGGCACAAAAGGUAAAACUGUUGGCAUCAGAAACUCUUGCUGCUAUGUCUAUAUACUGUUUACAAUUUAUUUACUAUUUGUAUUUACAUUUUUGUUAUUAUAUCCUCAAUGUGUGGAUUUUUCUUUCCUGUUAUUGACUUUAAAUCCAGAUGAAACCCAAAAAGGGAAAACAUUUAGAAUGACUUUAAAAGCCACUGACUGUAAUUUGAUUCUAAAUUUGUGAAUUAUUAUCAUAAUAACUUUGAAGGGAAACAGUUUCUUAUGUUUUGUUGGCUUUGUUUUGCUUUGUUUGUUUUAAUGUAUGCAUAUUUUUUAUUAUUAUUUUGUUUUUACACAAAAAACAACAAAAUAAUAAAAACAGUUUUCUCUGUAAAAUCCGAAAUUGCUGGAAAGAUGUGAAGGAACGUUUAGUUAAUUUGAGGUAAAUAAAAAAUCAUGUAAACAUGAAAUACGUUAUACAAUGUAAUUGUUCAACACCUGAAAUGCUUAUGUUGUUUACACAAUUGAAAAUGUCUUAUUAUUAUUAUUAUUGUUAUUAUCAAAUAUUAAGAUUUAAAAGCAUCACUUAAAGUUCACACACUUUUUGAUUCCCCUGGUCAAAAUGUAAUUCUAAAAUCUUCUUUCAGUGAAAACACAUCCUGCACUACCUGUUAGUGUUUUGUGUUUCUGUAGAUUUACUGGGUUAAAAACAUGCCACCGUAUCUUUAAAAUAAAUUGUCAUUGAUUAUACAUUUGUCAGGUGUUCACAUCUGUUUUAGGACUCCAGACAUUUUAUCAGCAUUAUUUACAAAACGUUGAUGAAAGAUCUUUUACUUUAUGCUUCCACUUUCUAAAAUGUUAUAUAAGAAGAUAUUCCUAUUGGCAAAAUGUUUUCUCUGAGUUAAUUACAUUUUGAAUCAUCUUAAAAAGGGAAUUAUUCCUUAAAUUAACAAUUAGAUUUUUAUUUUAUUUUACUCGUUGGUGUUACAGAUUCUCCCACAGAAAUAAAACAUAAAUAAAUGACGGCUUGUAAUCGUCUCUACCAGUGCAUGAAACGUUGCAUGCCAUGGUUGUUAAGUUCAUUAUGCACACUACUGCCCCCUUCAGAAAGCUCUGGAAGACAACCUCAUUAUUUUAUCACACAUGUGCCUGUUGAGAAAUCGUUUUAAAGAGGCAGUGUUAUAUAAAAUCAACAUGUCAUAAUGUUAUUCCCUCACCAAAAACAUAGCUUUGGUUCCUUCACACAUGUUUGAGAAAUCCUUUAGUUUCCCCUGGCGGCCAUUUUAGAUGCAACAACUCCUCCACUCAGCUCCUGCAGACUAGCCAGCAGCAAUUGGCAAACACCUGGGGGAACUGAGCAUCUGCUGAGCUCAUUACACUAGUUGCUAAUUAGUGCAAUGUUGGUAAAAACGUUAAUAUUGUUUUGUUUUACUACUAAAGGCGGAGCAAGAGCUUCUUAAAGAGACAGAGACCCAAUUUUAAGGCAUUAAAAUGUGAAGUCAAGUUUCUCUUUAGUCAUGUUUCUUUUAACAACUGCAGGUAACAUAGUUACUUCAUCGCGCUAUAAAAUGGAAUAAUGUGCCUGUAAUAUAUAUAAUACUGCCUCUUUAACACUUUCUGUUUGUAUCUGUUAAGACCACAUGCUCUUUUUAAUGUCUAAUUUAAUUAUUACAGUGAUAAAAAGCUUUUAAAGAUGAUGUUUUCUUUCAGAAACAUUAUUUUUAUUGUGGUAAGACUCAUUCUCUCUCCUUUGUGGUUGUCAGGAAUAUUUUUUAUGAAGGUAAUAAUCUGUUUAAAAAACAGGAAGACCUUCAUAAUCACAGAUGAAACUAAGAGUAGAAAAUAAAAUGUGAAACAUUUUAGAGACAUUCGGUGUGUUACAGUGAAGAGUAGAGAUGCCAUAUUAACUUUGAAAUGAAUUUGGUGAAGUGAAAAAUUAUGUUUAAGAUAUCUGUUUGUGUGUGCUUAUUGGUUUUUAUGUGUGUGGAGAUUAGAUUUUUCUGGAAACUUCACUUUUGGUGUCUUUGUCAUAUGUUGCUUUGUUUUUACAAUCAGAGUGUUUUAUGGGUAAAAUAAAGGGAAAAUAAAAUGUAACUUCAUGAAUGA